GACGAACGCUGGCGGCGUGCUUAACACAUGCAAGUCGAACGGAGUGGCGAACGGGUGAGUAACACGUGGGUGAUCUGCCUUGCACUUCGGGAUAAGCUUGGGAACCUGGGUCUAAUACCGGAUAUUGCAAGAUGAGCUCGCGGCCUAUCGGCUUGUUGGUGGGGUAAGGGCCUACCCAGGCGUCGACGGGUAGCCGGCCUGAGAGGGUGUACGGCCACAUGGGGCCUGAGAGACGGCCCAGACGCCUACGGGGGGCAGCAGGGGGGAAUAUGGCACAAGGGGCGGAAGACGGAGGCAGCGACGCUGCGUGGGGGAUGAAGGCCUUCGGGUUGUAAACUCCGUUCGACAGGGACGCGGUACCUGUAUAAGAAGCACCGGCUAACUACGUGCCAGCAGCCGCGGUAAUAC
rnacentral:rRNA from 1 species